GUGCGGCUGGAUCACCUCCUUUCU
rnacentral:ncRNA from 7 species